rnacentral:lncRNA from 1 species
AGAAGAUUGAGGGUGCAGAGCCCUGUCCUGCAGCGGGGAUUUGCGAGCUCAACCCGGCACCCCACUGAUUACAGGAUUACGUUGGACGAAUAUUUGAGCUUAGUAUUCCCUGUUCACUGUGUGGGGUGGUGGUGGGUCGGCUAGGAAUAGUCUUGAAGGUCUACCUCUGACAUCUCAUUUCAGUAACCUCGCAUCUUCAGGGACAGUUAUCUGCUUUUUAAAGGAGCAAGUGAAUUCAUGGUAUUUUACUUUUUUGGGAAAUACUGGAAAUGAAGACCUGCAACUGUAAUUUGAAAUAAGGAAAACUUUAAUUUUCAGUAUAAAAAUUGCUCAAAUAGAAUUGCCUGAUUUUAAUGACAAAAGUAUAUGGGAGUCCACAUUUAUGUAAGAAAUGAAACUAUAAAAUGUAUAAAUAAUUUGCAAAUCAGAAUUGCUGUCGAAAGUUUUACUAUAAUGAAAGAUAUUUUCAUACUCUCAAAAAUAUAGAGGAAAGGGGCCAAGAUUAUAGUACCAGUCACAAUCUUUUGAUGAGGACGAAAUGAAUCAGGUAACAGACUGGGUUGACCCAUCAUUUGAUGAUUUUCUAGAGUGUAGUGGCGUCUCUACUAUUACUGCCACAUCAUUAGGUGUGAAUAACUCAAGUCAUAGAAGAAAAAAUGGGCCUUCUACAUUAGAAAGCAGCAGAUUUCCAGCGAGAAAAAGAGGAAAUCUAUCUUCCUUAGAACAGAUUUAUGGUUUAGAAAAUUCAAAAGAAUAUCUGUCUGAAAAUGAACCAUGGGUGGAUAAAUAUAAACCAGAAACUCAGCAUGAACUUGCUGUGCAU